rnacentral:misc_RNA from 1 species
AACGCACCUUGCACUCCUUGGUAUUCCGAGGAGUAUGCCUGUUUGAGUGUCUUUAAAUCAUCAAUCUAGCUUUGCUUUUGUGAAGUUGGAUUGGAUUUGGGGAUUGCUGGUGAAAGCUAGCUUCCCUUGAAUGCAUUAGUUGGACCGAGUUGCAACGCUACGUGUGGUGUGAUAAUAUCUUCACUGCAUAGUUGUAAUGAAGUUUGGCUUCUAACCGUCCUUCACUGGACAAUUAUUGACCAUUGGACCUCAAAUCAGGUAGGACUACCCGCUGAACUUAA